rnacentral:rRNA from 1 species
ACGCUGGCGGCAGGCCUAACACAUGCAAGUCGAGCGGAAACGAGUUAUCUGAACCUUCGGGGAACGAUAACGGCGUCGAGCGGCGGACGGGUGAGUAAUGCCUAGGAAAUUGCCCUGAUGUGGGGGAUAACCAUUGGAAACGAUGGCUAAUACCGCAUAAUGCCUACGGGCCAAAGAGGGGGACCUUCGGGCCUCUCGCGUCAGGAUAUGCCUAGGUGGGAUUAGCUAGUUGGUGAGGUAAGGGCUCACCAAGGCGACGAUCCCUAGCUGGUCUGAGAGGAUGAUCAGCCACACUGGAACUGAGACACGGUCCAGACUCCUACGGGAGGCAGCAGUGGGGAAUAUUGCACAAUGGGCGCAAGCCUGAUGCAGCCAUGCCGCGUGUGUGAAGAAGGCCUUCGGGUUGUAAAGCACUUUCAGUCGUGAGGAAGGUAGUGGUGUUAAUAGCUUCAUCAUUUGACGUUAGCGACAGAAGAAGCACCGGCUAACUCCGUGCCAGCAGCCGCGGUAAU